rnacentral:pre_miRNA from 1 species
CAGUCUUUGCCCUCAAGUCAUCCACCCUGGUGAAUGACUUGAGGGCAAAGACUGGG